AAAAAACGCGAAGAUCCGUAACGAAGCUUUCGUGGAAUAAAUGAGAAAUGUUCUGUUGUGCAACGAAGGAAAAGUCGUUGAAAGGUGUACGCAUCUGUAAAUACACUAUAACCAUGUACAUU
rnacentral:lncRNA from 1 species